AACUGGUCUGACCUAUGGAGAUAAGCAGAGAGAGAUUGGGACAAGCACAUUGAGCGGGAUCACAUGAAGGACAGCUUCUCCACAUUGACCAAGGAAAAAGGAACAAGGAAAUAAUGAGUGAAAAGGAGAUCAGAAAAAUGGGGGCAGGGGGAGGAAAUUGUGACUAAAGAUGAAAGCUUUAACUACAAUGACCUAAAGAGCUCAGGAAGAACCAGACUUUCUAACAGAUUUUUAUGUUUCCUAUUUAUGUAGCUAUGAUCAAAGUAAUGUCAUAAGAUAUAAUUCAUACUUUCAGAUAUUAUUACAAAUAUAUACAUUGGGCUAUUAGUUUCAAGAUACUGAAGAUACUAAUGCCUGCAGUGGGUAAACUAGGUACCUAGUUUCCAACCUUCAGAUGUGAGGACAGAAAACAGGAAAGCAAAGUGGGACCAUUGCCAGGAUGGAAUAUUUAGAUGAAGUUCUUCAAGUGAACAAAGUUCUCAUAAUAGUGAACAGAAUCUGAAAAAUCAGUUUUUCUGACAAUCUGCAUAGGACCUAAUUUAACUCUGCAGUUACGAAGAACAAAGCACAUAAACAAGGAAACUUUAAGGAAAUUUUCAUUUCUAAAAAAACAGCAAAGACAUUACACAAAAAGAACUGCACUGACUGACAGAUAUUCACAAACUCCUAACAAAAGUCGACAGUUUCCUGCCAACGAAACAUGCCAGGGGCCUCAGGAUGUGGAUAAUAAGAAAGGUUUGAAGAGCCAAGGACACCAAGCAACGCUUAAGUUCCAGACAUUUCACAAGAUAAAAGAGCAAAUGCAAUCCAUAGUCUCCGAUAACCAGCUCUGGGAAGAAGGGUAAAAGUGAUGAUGUAAACAAGAGAUUCAGCUGAAAAUCAUACAAUGGGAGACUGUAACAGCAUGGCCUGACCAGAUUUAUUGGUUUGAGAAAAGCCUCUUUGAACAAAUGUCUGCUAAGCUGAGGCCUAAAGAAUGUCUCAGAGGAAACCAGGACAGAGUGACCGGAAAACAUCUCUGAGAGGAACAAAAUGUGUGAAAGGAAGAGGUUGGCAUGACUCUGAAAAUGUCUCUUUUAAAAAAAUGGUUCAUCUAGAAUUUGAAAUCACAACAAAAAAAAGUUGUAUUUGCAACAUAGAUGGACCUUGAAGAAAUGCUAAGUGAAUAAAUAACCCUGAUACAAAAGGACAGAUA